ACCAAUUAGCCCAAUUCAAAAAAAAAAACAACAAUACAAAAAUGAUUUCAAUAGCAUGAAGAAUAUUUCAGACAAAAAAUGCCCCUCAAUUUGACUUAGAAUAAAAAAGAAAUAUUAGUUAAAAAUAAACUAAAUAUGAAAUGCAUUUGACCAAAUCAAACUUUUUGUUUAUUGCAAUAAUAUCAUCGAUUGGUUUGUUUGGAUUGCUUCAUAUUUUCCCAAUUUUAUUUGCUUACAUCAUCUUUAUAAUUUCCAAUACACCUUUUUAUCUUUCCAAUAUCUUUUUAUCUCACAUACAUCACAUCACAAAAAGUGCUACAGAAAAAUAUCCCAAAUAAUCCCAAAUAACUUACAAUCCAAACAGACAUCCUUAACGCCUGCUGGCGGCCUACAAUAUGUUACAGGAAGAGAUAAGGAACAACCACAGAGAACCUAUGGGUGAAUAAAAGGAGAGAGGGAAGGGGGGAGGAUGGUUAACAUUGAGAUGGCGGUCAAUAUACAAAUUACAAACUCAAGCUCAGAGAUAAUCUAUUAACAGAAU
rnacentral:lncRNA from 1 species